rnacentral:rRNA from 1 species
ACUCCUACGGGAGGCAGCAGUGGGGAAGUAUUGCACAAUGGGGAACCGGUAGCAUGCAGCCAUGCCGCGUGUGUGAAGAAGGCCUUCGGGUUGUAAAGCACUUUCAGCGAGGAGGAAAGGGUGUAAGUUAAUACCUUACAUCUGUGACGUUACUCGCAGAAGAAGCACCGGCUAACUCCGUGCCAGCAGCCGCGGUAAUACGGAGGGUGCGAGCGUUAAUCGGAAUUACUGGGCGUAAAGCGUGCGCAGGCGGUUUGUUAAGCGAGAUGUG